rnacentral:rRNA from 1 species
GGGGUUUUUCAGUGUUUUUUAUGGCACUUUAAUCCAUAUCCACCUUGUGUGCAAUGUCAUCUCACUGGGGUUACGUUUGUAAAAUUUCGUGAUCCGUUUGGGAUUUAUAUCUACUCAGAACUUUAGUCAUUUUGUCUGAAACAUAUUAUGAAUAACUUAAUUCAAAAUACAACUUUCAACAACGGAUCUCUUGGCUCUCGCAUCGAUGAAGAACGCAGCGAAAUGCGAUACGUAAUGUGAAUUGCAGAAUUCAGUGAAUCAUCGAAUCUUUGAACGCAUAUUGCGCUCUCUGGUAUUCCGGAGAGCAUGCUUGUUUGAGUAUCAGUAAACACCUCAACUCCCUUUCUUCUUGAAAUGGAGCUGGACUUGAGUGAUCCCAACGCUUUAUUCAUAAAGUGGCGGGUUACUUGAAAUGCAGGUGCAGCUGGACUUUUCUCUGAGCUAUAAGCAUAUCUAUUUAGUCUGCCUCAAAAACAGAUUAUUACCUUUGCUGCAGCUAACAUAAAGGAGAUUAGUUCUUGUGCUGACUGAUGCAGGAUUCACAAAGACCGCUUCGGCUGUCUUUGUAAACUCGAUCUCAAAUCAAGUAAGACUACCCGCUGAACUUAAGCAUAUCAAUAAGCGGAGGAA